AUACUUAUCUGGACGGGUCGAUGGGCGAAAGAAAGGUCCAUGGCUUAGGUCAGUGACAUUCAUUGCACUGAGGGUGGGUGCUGGCUUAAGGUCUCCCCAAGUGGGAGAUCCCGUGUCAAAAUUUGUGGUAGAGGGGGCUGCGGAAGCCGCAGCCUCUG